UACGUAGGGUGCAAGCGUUGUCCGGAAUUAUUGGGCGUAAAGAGCUCGUAGGCGGUUUGUCGCGUCUGCUGUGAAAGCUGGAGGCUCAACCUCCAGCCUGCAGUGGGUACGGGCAAACUAGAGUGCGGUAGGGGAGAUUGGAAUUCCUGGUGUAGCGGUGGAAUGCGCAGAUAUCAGGAGGAGCACCGAUGGCGAAGGCAGAUCUCUGGGCCGUAACUGACGCUGAGGAGCGAAAGCAUGGGGAGCGAACAGG
rnacentral:rRNA from 1 species